UACGUAGGGUGCAAGCGUUAAUCGGAAUUACUGGGCGUAAAGCGUGCGCAGGCGGCUUUGCAAGACAGACGUGAAAUCCCCAGGCUCAACCUGGGAACUGCGUCUGAUACUGGAUGGCUUGAAUCCGGGAGAGGGAUGCAGAAUUCCAGGUGUAGCGGUGAAAUGCGUAGAUAUCUGGAGGAAUACCGGUGGCGAAGGCGGCAUCCUGGACCGGCAUUGACGCUGAGGUGCGAAAGCGUGGGGAGCAAACAGG
rnacentral:rRNA from 1 species